rnacentral:rRNA from 1 species
CAAGUCGAACGGCAGCGGGGGCUUCGGCCUGCCGGCGAGUGGCGAACGGGUGAGUAAUGCAUCGGAACGUACCCAGUCGUGGGGGAUAACUACGCGAAAGCGUAGCUAAUACCGCAUACGCCCUGAGGGGGAAAGCGGGGGACCUUCGGGCCUCGCGCGAUUGGAGCGGCUGAUGUCGGAUUAGCUAGUUGGUGGGGUAAAGGCCUACCAAGGCGACGAUCCGUAGCUGGUCUGAGAGGAUGAUCAGCCACACUGGGACUGAGACACGGCCCAGACUCCUACGGGAGGCAGCAGUGGGGAAUUUUGGACAAUGGGCGCAAGCCUGAUCCAGCCAUGCCGCGUGAGUGAAGAAGGCCUUCGGGUUGUAAAGCUCUUUCAGCAGGAACGAAAAGGUAGCGGUCAAUAACCGCUGCCGAUGACGGUACCUGAAGAAGAAGCACCGGCUAACUACGUGCCAGCAGCCGCGGUAAU